AACGAACGCUAUCGGUAUGCUUAACACAUGCAAGUCGGACGGACUAAUUAGGGCUUGCUCCAAUUAGUUAGUGGCAGACGGGUGAGUAACACGUGGGAAUCUGCCCAUCAGUACGGAAUAACUUUUAGAAAUAAAAGCUAAUACCGUAUAUUCUCUACAGAGGAAAGAUUUAUCGCUGAUGGAUGAGCCCGCGUCAGAUUAGGUAGUUGGUGAGGUAACGGCUCACCAAGCCGACGAUCUGUAGCUGGUCUGAGAGGAUGAUCAGCCACACUGGGACUGAGACACGGCCCAGACUCCUACGGGAGGCAGCAGUGGGGAAUAUUGGACAAUGGGCGAAAGCCUGAUCCAGCAAUACCGAGUGAGUGAUAAAGGCCCUAGGGUUGUAAAGCUCUUUUAGCAAGGAAGAUAAUGACGUUACUUACAGAAAAAGCCCCGGCUAACUCCGUG
rnacentral:rRNA from 1 species